rnacentral:lncRNA from 1 species
GCGUUGUGCAGCAGCCUUGGGUGCAUACCCUGAAUGGCAGUGUCUGGAGCAGGGGAAAAAGCCACAGGGUCUUAUGGAUGUAACGAUCUGCGUUUGAGUCUUGGUUUGGAGUUGAUCUGGCCAUCUUCAGACACACCAGAAGAGGACAUCGGAUCCCAUUACAGAUGGUUGUGAACCCCCAUGUGAUUGCUCGGAAUUGAACUCAGGACCUCUGGAAGAGCAGUCAGUACUCUUAACCCUUGAGCUAUCUCUCAGCCCUAGUUGGUUUUUUUGUUUUGUUUUGUUUUGUUUUGUUUUGUUUUUGUAAGUCUGUUACCAUUGGAUUAUAGCAACUAGUCUUCAAGUGUUAAGUUGGCCUGUGCUGGGGGAUAAAAGCAACUUAGUUUUGAUGUUAUUAUCUUUGUAUGGUAGCUGAAUUAUUUAACGUGUUUACAAGUGCCGAAUUUUCCCCCUUAGCUUUAUGUUUUGUAUCACUCAAGAAAGUUUCUGUUCCCCCCCUCCCCAAGCUACUGCAGUGGUCAGCAUAAAAGCAUUCAUAAGACACCCCUGUAAGGCUUUCAGUGUCCAUGAAUGUGACUGUCACUGUUCUCACGCAGGACCCCUCCCGUGCCCUGUGCUUCCUCUCUGACAGUUUGGGAGAGAUAUGUAUCGAUCAACUCAGAACAACAGUUUUGGUGUCAGCGGCUUUUCCACUGUUUUACUUUUCCUCCCUUGGUUUCUUCUCUGAUCGUGGUCCUUUCUCUUCUUCCCUGCACACAUUUACCUUCCUCUGCCCUUCCUAGUUUCCUCAGCUAGAGGAGGAGCUCCUGGGCAGGGUUUGUUUCCUGUUCCAGCGUCAGCACUUCCUGUUGUCCUGUUUCUGCUGCAUCCUAGGACUUUGAUAUUUGUGGGGGUUCUUUUUCUUAUCAAAUUUAAAAUACUCUAUGACCUCUCAUUCUAGUUUUUUGUAAAUACUUAUCUAUCUGUGUUUGUGUGGUCAGGCAAAUGGUACCCAAGACUGUAGGUCAGAGGACAACUUGCUGUAAUGAGAAUUUUGGUUAAAAAACAAACAAACUAGUUAUGUGAAUAUAUUUUUGUUUUAAUCUAGGAUGUG